CUUCACCUUGAGGUCCCGGCUCUGGGAGCGGAGGAGGUCUUGGAUGUAGCCUUUGGGGUCUCUGGAGAAGCUUAGCAUGAAGUCCCUCUGGAUCUUGAGCUGGUUUAUGGACUCAAUCGUCUCGUGGAUCUACAGGCCCGUGUUCUCGUCUGUUUUGUCUGUGCUUGUGUCAUUUUGGGGUUGAUGUCCCACUCCAGCUCUGGGCUCUGGCCCCACCUUACUGUCCAGAGCGCUGAUCUCCUGCUGGUUGGCUGUGGACAGGAGGAAGCUGCUCAUCUGUCCCUUCAGUGGCUCCUCUACCUCCACGUCAAUGUCGUAGCACGCUGUCUUCUUCUGGUCUGACGGGUCCACGCUGCCAGGGAAGUCCAGCCCUUGGUGUCCUUGCUGCCCCACAGAGGCCAAGGGGAGGGAAGGGGCCCCGAGUGGGAGGCAGCGGGAGGGACUGGGAGGCCAGGCCCCCCCCUCCCCCCCCGCCUCCGCCCCUGCAAUGACUCCCUGUUCUGAGAGCAAACUGGGGCCUCACCUGAUGACAUGGUUGAUGACAAUGGGGUCAGGGGGCAACAGCAGAGCUGUGAGGCGCUGGGGGAUCUCAGAAAACUUCAGCCGGGGACAAUCAAAAAUCUGAAGUAGGAGAGAGAGAUCACUCCUGCCGCAUGUUUGGAAGAGCACACAUUCCCUUUUGAAAAGGCCUGGGGAAGCCAGAGCCCACGGGGCUGGGCAGGGGCUGCCAGUGGGGCGGGUCCAUGCAGCGCAUGGUUGACAGCGCCAAGGCCUGGGCUGCUGGCCUGGGUAGAAAUCCUGCUUCCACCACUUCCUGUGCAGCUGAGCAACUUACCCAACACCUCGGGCCUCAGUUUCUUCAUCUCUAGAAAGGGGAUGAUAAUAGCGCCCAUCUCACGGGGUGGCUGUGAGGUUAGAGUCAGCACACAUAACGGGCUCGGACCAGUGCCUGGCACAUGGUAAGUGCUCAAUAAACACUGACUUUAUUUUUA